UUGGCUUAGAAGCAGCCAUCAUUUAAAGAAAGCGUAAUAGCUCACUGGUCGAGUCGGCCUGCGCGGAAGAUGUAACGGGGCUAAACCAUGCACCGAAGCUGCGGCAGCGACGCUUAUGCGUUGUUGGGUAGGGGAGCGUUCUGUAAGCCGUUGAAGGUGUCCUGUGAGGGGUGCUGGAGGUAUCAGAAGUGCGAAUGCUGACAUAAGUAACGAUAAAGCGGGUGAAAAGC
rnacentral:rRNA from 1 species